GACGAACGCUGGCGGCGUGCCUAAUACAUGCAAGUCGAGCGGAUUUUCGGAAGCUUGCUUCCGAAAAUUAGCGGCGGACGGGUGAGUAACACGUGGGCAACCUGCCUGUAAGACUGGGAUAACUUCGGGAAACCGGAGCUAAUACCGGAUACAUUCUUCCCUCGCAUGAGGGAAGAUGGAAAGACGGUUUUGCUGUCACUUACAGAUGGGCCCGCGGCGCAUUAGCUAGUUGGUGGGGUAAUGGCCCACCAAGGCGACGAUGCGUAGCCGACCUGAGAGGGUGAUCGGCCACACUGGGACUGAGACACGGCCCAGACUCCUACGGGAGGCAGCAGUAGGGAAUCUUCCGCAAUGGACGAAAGUCUGACGGAGCAACGCCGCGUGAGCGAAGAAGGCCUUCGGGUCGUAAAGCUCUGUUGUCAGGGAAGAACAAGUACCAUAGUAACUGAUGGUACCUUGAUGGUACCUGACCAGAAAGCCACGGCUAACUACGUGCCAGCAGCCGCCGCUG
rnacentral:rRNA from 1 species